UACGUAGGGUGCGAGCGUUGUCCGGAAUCACUGGGCGUAAAGCGCACGUAGGCGGAUUGCUAAGUCAGGGGUGAAAUCCUGGAGCUCAACUCCAGAACUGCCUUUGAUACUGGCGAUCUUGAGUCCGGGAGAGGUGAGUGGAACUGCGAGUGUAGAGGUGAAAUUCGUAGAUAUUCGCAAGAACACCAGUGGCGAAGGCGGCUCACUGGCCCGGUACUGACGCUGAGGUGCGAAAGCGUGGGGAGCAAACAGG
rnacentral:rRNA from 1 species